rnacentral:rRNA from 1 species
GACGAACGCUGGCGGCGUGCUUAACACAUGCAAGUCGAACGGAAAGGCCCUGCUUUUGUGGGGUGCUCGAGUGGCGAACGGGUGAGUAACACGUGAGUAACCUGCCCUUGACUUUGGGAUAACUUCAGGAGACUGGGGCUAAUACCGGAUAGGAGCUCCUGCUGCAGGGUGGGGGUUGGAAAGUUUCGGCGGUUGGGGAUGGACUCGCGGCUUAUCCGCUUGUUGGUGGGGUAGUGGCUUACCAAGGCUUUGACGGGUAGCCGGCCUGAGAGGGUGACCGGCCACAUUGGGACUGAGAUACGGCCCAGACUCCUACGGGAGGCAGCAGUGGGGAAUAUUGCACAAUGGGCGGAAGCCUGAUGCAGCAACGCCGCGUGCGGGAUGACGGCCUUCGGGUUGUAAACCGCUUUCGCCUGUGACGAAGCGUGAGUGACGGUAAUGGGUAAAGAAGCACCGGCUAACUACGUG